UACGGAAGGCAGCAGGGGGAAUAUUGCACAAUGGGCGGAAGCCUGAUGCAGCGACGCCGCGUGAGGGAUGACGGCCUUCGGGUUGUAAACCUCUUUCAGCACGGAAGAAGCGAGAGUGACGGUACGUGCAGAAGAAGCGCCGGCUAACUACGUGCCAGCAGCCGCGGUAAUACGGAGGGUGCUAGCGUUAAUCAGAAUUACUGGGCGUAAAGAGCACGUAGGUGGUUUUUUUAAGUCAGAUGUGAAAUCCCUGGGCUUAACCUAGGAACUGCAUUUUGAAACUGAAAUACUAGAGUAUCGUAGAGGGAGGUAGAAUUCUAGGUGUAGCGGUGAAAUGCGUAGAUAUCUGGAGGAAUACCUGUGGCGAAAGCGGCCUCCUAAACGAAUACUGACACUGAGGUGCGAAAGCGUGGGGAGCAAACAGGGAUUAGAUACC
rnacentral:rRNA from 1 species